GAUGAAGAACGCAGCGAAAUGCGAUAAGUAAUGUGAAUUGCAGAAUUCAGUGAAUCAUCGAGUCUUUGAACGCACAUUGCGCCCCCUGGUAUUCCGGGGGGCAUGCCUGUCCGAGCGUCAUUGCCGCCCUCAAGCACGGCUUGUGUGUUGGGCCCCCGCCCCCCGGCUUCGGGGGGCGGGCCCGAAAGGCAGCGGCGGCACCGCGUCCGGUCCUCGAGCGUAUGGGGCUUCGUCACCCGCUCUGUAGGCCCGGCCGGCGCCCGCCGGCGGCCCCAAUCAAUCUUUCCAGGUUGACCUCGGAUCAGGUAGGGAUACCCGCUGAACUUAAGCAUAUCAAUAAGCGGAGGA
rnacentral:misc_RNA from 1 species